AUCAAGAAUCGGAGUACUCGAAAUUCAACUCCCGAAAUAGGGGUGCGAAAAUUGAUAUUAAAGCCUUACAAGGUUCCAGUUGGCAUUCCGGACAAUGAAUGUCUAUCGGGACGUCGCGGCGGUUGUCAUGGGCUUGAGUGGAGUACCGAGUCGUGACAAGAUAACACCUCCAUUGAGCAAGAAUGCAUAGCCUGAUGCUAAUUAGCGCUCAUUUAUGUCAAUUCCCCAAUCAACAUCGCUAUAGUUGAUUAAGUUUAGGUUUGAAUCUUGAUAUCAUAAUAUGUAAUCAGCAAUUCCCUAAAGAUUUAUUGAGCAAAAAAAAAAAUUCCCUUAAGAUUUAUUGAGCAAAAACAAAAUCCAUUAAGAUAGCACAAAAUCCUUUUAAUAGGUUUGCAAUGGGCAUGUCUAAUAUUUGAUUGGAAUCUAUCUACCAAACAAAUUGCAAAGUUAAUAUCAAGUCUAGUGCGCAUCAUGGCAUACAUGAGGCUAUCAACAACUUUAGAAUAAGGAGUGUUACGGUUUGACUUAAUA